AUUGAACGCUGGCGGCAGGCCUAACACAUGCAAGUCGAGCGGAGCGGCGGACGGGUGAGUAAUGCCUAUGAAUCUGCCUGUUCGUGGGGGAUAACGUCCGGUAACGGGCGCUAAUACCGCAUACUAUCAGAUUAGCCGAGGUCGGAUUAGCUAGUUGGUGGGGUAAAGGCCUACCAAGGCGACGAUCCGUAACUGGUCUGAGAGGAUGAGCAGUCACACUGGAACUGAGACACGGUCCAGACUCCUACGGGAGGCAGCAGUGGGGAAUAUUGGACAAUGGGCGAAAGCCUGAUCCAGCCAUGCCGCGUGUAUGAAGAAGGUCUUCGGAUUGUAAAGCACUUUAAGCUGGGAGGCGUUACCAGCAGAAUAAGCACCGGCUAACUACGUGCCAGCAGCCGCGGUAAUAC
rnacentral:rRNA from 1 species